rnacentral:rRNA from 1 species
GUUUGAUUCUGGCUCAGAUUGAACGCUGGCGGGAUGCUUUACACAUGCAAGUCGAACGGCAGCACGGACUUCGGUCUGGUGGCGAGUAGCAGAACGGGUGAGUAAUGUAUCGGAACGUGCCUAGUAGCGGGGGAUAACUACGCGAAAGCGUAGCUAAUACCGCAUACGCCCUUCGGGGAAAGCGGGGGGACCUUCGGGCCUCGCACUAUUAGAAGCAGCCGAUAUCGGAUUAGCUAGUUGGUGGGGUAACGGCUCACCAAGGCGACGAUCCGUAGCUGGUUUGAGAGGACGACCAGCCGCACUGGGACUGAGACGCAGCCCAGACCGGGGCAGCGGUAGAAUUUUGGACAACUGGGAAACCCUGAUCCAGCCAUCCGCGUGUGCGAUGAGGCCUUCGGGUUGUACUUUUGGCAGGAAAAACUGCUUCAGGAUAAUACCCCGUGCAACUGACGGUACCUGCAGAAUAAGCACCGGCUAACUACGUGCCAGCAGUCGCGGUAGCCGUAAGUGCAAGCGUUAAUCGGAAUUCACUGGGCGUAAAGCGCGUGCGCAGGCGGUUCGGAAAGAAAGAUGUGAAAUCCCAGAGCUUAACUUUGGAACUGCAUUUUUAACUACCGAGCUAGAGUGUCAGAGGGAGGUGGAAUUCCGCGUGUAGCAGUGAAAUGCGUAGAUAUGCGGAGGGAACACCGAUAGCGAAAAUAUCGAUCUUUACCGAAACGCUCUGUGCACGAAAGCGUGGAGCAAACAGGAUUAGAUACCCUGGUGGUCCACGCCUAAGCAAUCAACUAAUGUUGGGGCCUUCGGGCCUUGGUAGCGCAACUAGCGUGAAGUUGACCGCCUGGGGAAGCUACGGUCGCAAGAUUAAAACUCAAAGGAAUUGACGGGGACCCGCACAAGCGGUGGAUGAUGUGGAUUAAUUCGAUGCAACGCGAAAAACCUUACCUACCCUUGACAUGUCUGGAAUCCCGAAGAGAUUUGGGAGUGCUCGCAAGAGAACCGGAACACAGGUGCUGCAUGGCUGUCGUCAGCUCGUGUCGUGAGAUGUUGGGUUAAGUCCCGCAACGAGCGCAACCCAUCCAUUGGUUGCUACGAAGGGCACUCUGUCGGACUGCCGAUGAUGAAACCGGAGGAAGGUGGGGAUGACGUCAAGUCCUCAUGGCCCUUAUGGGUAGGGCUUCACACGUCAUACAAUGGUCGGAACAGAGGGUCGCCAACCCGCGAGGGGGGAGCCAAUCCCAGAAACCCGAUCGUCAGUCCGGAUCACAAAGUCUGCGCUCGACUGCGUGAAGUCAGAAUCGCUAGUAAUCGCGGAUCAGCAUGUCGCGGUGAAUACGUUCAGGUCUUGUACACACCGCCCGUCACAUGCAUGGGGUGGGUUUUACCAAUGGUCAGCCUAACCGUAAGGAGGGCGAUUACCACGGUAGGAUUCAUGACUGGGGUGAAGUCGUAACAAGGUAA